rnacentral:rRNA from 1 species
CAGCUAAGGUCCCAAAAUAUAUGUUAAGUGGAAAAGGAUGUGGCGUUGCCCAGACAACUAGGAUGUUGGCUUAGAAGCAGCCAUCAUUUAAAGAGUGCGUAAUAGCUCACUAGUCGAGUGACACUGCGCCGAAAAUGUACCGGGGCUAAACAUAUUACCGAAGCUGUGGAUUGUCCUUUGGACAAUGGUAGGAGAGCGUUCUAAGGGCGUUGAAGCAUGAUCGUAAGGACAUGUGGAGCGCUUAGAAGUGAGAAUGCCGGUGUGAGUAGCGAAAGACGGGUGAGAAUCCCGUCCACCGAUUGACUAAGGUUUCCAGAGGAAGGCUCGUCCGCUCUGGGUUAGUCGGGUCCUAAGCUGAGGCCGACAGGCGUAGGCGAUGGAUAACAGGUUGAUAUUCCUGUACCACCUAUAAUCGUUUUAAUCGAUGGGGGGACGCAGUAGGAUAGGCGAAGCGUGCGAUUGGAUUGCACGUCUAAGCAGUAAGGCUGAGUAUUAGGCAAAUCCGGUACUCGUUGAGGCUGAGCUGUGAUGGGGAGAAGACAUUGUGUCUUCGAGUCGUUGAUUUCACACUGCCGAGAAAAGCCUCUAGAUAGAAAAUAGGUGCCCGUACCGCAAACCGACACAGGUAGUCAAGAUGAGAAUUCUAAGGUGAGCGAGCGAACUCUCGUUAAGGAACUCGGCAAAAUGACCCCGUAACUUCGGGAGAAGGGGUGCUCUUUAGGGUUAACGCCCAGAAGAGCCGCAGUGAAUAGGCCCAAGCGACUGUUUAUCAAAAACACAGGUCUCUGCUAAACCGUAAGGUGAUGUAUAGGGGCUGACGCCUGCCCGGUGCUGGAAGGUUAAGAGGAGUGGUUAGCUUCUGCGAAGCUACGAAUCGAAGCCCCAGUAAACGGCGGCCGUAACUAUAACGGUCCUAAGGUAGCGAAAUUCCUUGUCGGGUAAGUUCCGACCCGCACGAAAGGCGUAACGAUUUGGGCACUGUCUCAACGAGAGACUCGGUGAAAUCAUAGUACCUGUGAAGAUGCAGGUUACCCGCGACAGGACGGAAAGACCCCGUGGAGCUUUACUGUAGCCUGAUAUUGAAAUUCGGCACAGCUUGUACAGGAUAGGUAGGAGCCUUUGAAACGUGAGCGCUAGCUUACGUGGAGGCGCUGGUGGGAUACUACCCUAGCUGUGUUGGCUUUCUAACCCGCACCACUUAUCGUGGUGGGAGACAGUGUCAGGCGGGCAGUUUGACUGGGGCGGUCGCCUCCUAAAAGGUAACGGAGGCGCUCAAAGGUUCCCUCAGAAUGGUUGGAAAUCAUUCAUAGAGUGUAAAGGCAUAAGGGAGCUUGACUGCGAGACCUACAAGUCGAGCAGGGUCGAAAGACGGACUUAGUGAUCCGGUGGUUCCGCAUGGAAGGGCCAUCGCUCAACGGAUAAAAGCUACCCCGGGGAUAACAGGCUUAUCUCCCCCAAGAGUUCACAUCGACGGGGAGGUUUGGCACCUCGAUGUCGGCUCAUCGCAUCCUGGGGCUGUAGUCGGUCCCAAGGGUUGGGCUGUUCGCCCAUUAAAGCGGUACGCGAGCUGGGUUCAGAACGUCGUGAGACAGUUCGGUCCCUAUCCGUCGUGGGCGUAGGAAAUUUGAGAGGAGCUGUCCUUAGUACGAGAGGACCGGGAUGGACAUACCUCUGGUGUACCAGUUGUCGUGCCAACGGCAUAGCUGGGUAGCUAUGUGUGGACGGGAUAAGUGCUGAAAGCAUCUAAGCAUGAAGCCCCCCUCAAGAUGAGAUUUCCCAACUUCGGUUAUAAGAUCCCUCAAAGAUGAUGAGGUUAAUAGGUUCGAGGUGGAAGCAUGGUGACAUGUGGAGCUGACGAAUACUAAUCGAUCGAAGACUUAAUCAA